rnacentral:rRNA from 1 species
UGGAGCAUGUGGUUAAUUCGAAGCAACGCGAAGAACCUUAACCAGGCCUUGACAUGCAGAGAACUUUCCAGAGAUGGAUUGGUGCCUUCGGGAACUCUGACACAGGUGCUGCAUGGCUGCCGUCAGCUCGUGUCGUGAGAUGUUGGGUUAAGUCCCGUAACGAGCGCAACCCUUGUCCUUAGUUACCAGCACGUUAUGGUGGGCACUCUAAGGAGACUGCCGGUGACAAACCGGAGGAAGGUGGGGAUGACGUCAAGUCAUCAUGGCCCUUACGGCCUGGGCUACACACGUGCUACAAUGGUCGGUACAAAGGGUUGCCAAGCCGCGAGGUGGAGCUAAUCCCAUAAAACCGAUCGUAGUCCGGAUCGCAGUCUGCAACUCGACUGCGUGAAGUCGGAAUCGCUAGUAAUCGUGGAUCAGAAUGUCACGGUGAAUACGUUCCCGGGCCUU